rnacentral:lncRNA from 1 species
UCCUGGGGGCUUAGCCCACCUGCCUCAGAGCUGUCCCACACCCUCUAUCUCAACCACCACAGCAGACCAGGUCUCCUGAGUCCAAGGGGGAGCCUCAGACUUCCUUAACAUUACCCUUGCUGGCUCAUUAGGAGCUCUAGAAAAAAAUCUGCUUAACUCUUCUUCCUACAAAACAUAAAGGACGCAUAACAAUGUGAGAACAAAGAAUGAAAUAAAGGAGCCAUUGGAACACAAAAGGAACAUAGCCCACCCAGCUCUGUGCUCUGGGAACUGACCUGUUCCUUUUCUUCAGUCACCCCCUAAGGACAGUCAUCAUUUUCUUUAAUUACCAAUCUGAUUAAUUCUUUCCCUUAGGGGAAAAAACCAAACCAACCAACCAAAAAAAAAAAAAAAAAAAAAAAAAACCUUGGAAUCAGUUGGCCCCAUGAUUAAAUGCUCUCUGUUUCAAAUGCCCCAGUCCUGUCAAAUAUCAGAAGGAGAAACUGGACAUUCUAAACCUCUGGGAUGAAGCAAAGAGGAAGACUGUGGAACAGGCUUUGUCACUCAAUCUGGCCCUCUGACCUGGGGCACAGCCUUUGACCUUGCAGUAAGUAAAAGAACAAUCUCCAAGCUAAGUAAGACUACUGCACAGAAAUCAUAAAAGUUCAGUGUGUCAGUAGAUCAAAGAUGAACCAAGUCAAAGGCCAAGAAAUAAACUAAAGUUGCAAGGUAUGCAAUACUCAGGCUGAAGCAAUCAAGCCUGCACCUCAAGCUCACUGAGCUGAGCUGCAUGAAAAGGCAGAGACAAGGGAGACUCCAAAUGCAGCUGGCCAAGGGAGCAUGGUGGUGCAGGCGCAGGGUGAAUGGAGAGGGGGAGAAAACCAUUGGUGCAACCUUCUGCAGAGGAAGGAGAACUGUUGCACUUAAGUAGAAAGAGGUGAGGCCUUCUGCCACAAUGCAGCCGCAGGAAACACAUAUACAAGAUCCAAUGGAAUAAAGUUAAGUAUCAACUAUGUAAUAGAGUAAAUUAUAGUAGAUUCAUAUAAAGAAAUGUUCUGGGUUUUUUUUUUUUAAAAUAGUGUUUGCUACAAAGAUGACAGAGAAUACUCCAAAAUGAGGAGAAACACACAUAAAAGUAUUAAAACAAAAACAGCAAAGGGCUGUGGCUGAGGCUCAGUAGAAGAGUAGCUAACAUAGUACACAUAUCACACACACACACACACACACAUUUC